CACACUGUCUGCGUGGCGGGAUGCGUGUCCGUUCUUAUUUCGGCUCCCAUGUUAACAGGUUAGAGCUUGCACGCUGCCUGCGUGACACGCACGUCUCAGGCACGGCUCAAGCCGCGCCAAAAACGCUUGCAUGCUAGAAAUA